CGGUAAUUCCAGCUCCAAUAGCGUAUACUAAAGUUGUUGCAGUUAAAAAGCUCGUAGUUGGAUUUCUGCGGGGACGGAGCGGCCGGACGCAACUUGCGUCUCGAGCUAGCGCUUUCCCCGCAUCCUGCCGCGAACCGUGCUACCAUUAGUUUGGUGGCGCUGGGGAUCGGCUCGAUUACUUUGAGAAAAAUAGAGUGUUCAAAGCAGGCCACACGCCUUGAAUAAGUUAGCAUGGAAUAAUGACUAAGGACUUCGGUUCUAUUUUGUUGGUGUUCGGGACUGAAGUAAUGAUUGAUAGGGACAGUUGGGGCGGUCUGUAUUCCAAAGCGAGAGGUGAAAUUCUUAGACCUCCGGAAGACAAACAGCUGCGAAAGCGUUCCGCAAGGAUGUUCCCUUUGAUCAAGAACGAAAGUUGGGGGAUCGAAGACGAUUAGAUACCGUCGUAGUCUCAACUAUAAACUAUACCAGCUAGGGAUCGGCCAACGUUUAAUUAAUCGACUUGGUCGGCACCUUAUGAGAAAUCAAAGCAUCUGGGUUCCGGGGGGAGUAUGGUCGCAAGGCUGAAACUUAAAGGAAUUGACGGAAGGGCACCACCAGCCGUGGAGCCUGUGGCUUAAUUUGACUCAACACGGGAAAACUUACCAGGUCCAGACAUAGGAAGGAUUGACAGAUUGAUAGCUCUUUCUUGAUUCUGUGGGUGGUGGUGCAUGGCCGUUUUUAGUUGGUGGAGUGAUUUGUCUGCUUAAUUGCGUUAACGAACGAGACCCCAGCCUGCUAAAUAGCGCGGCUGAGCUUUGCUCGGUGCGAGCUUCUUAGAGGGACCAUGAUGCGCGAUAGCACAAGGAAGUUUGGGGCAACAACAGGUCUGUGAUGCCCUUAGAUGUUCUGGGCCGCACACGGGCUACACUGGCGCCUGCAACGAGCAUAUCAGCUGGCCCGAGAGGGUCUUGGCUAAUCUUUUGAACCGGCGCCGUGCUUGGGAUUGACCUUUGCAAUUGUUGGUCAUGCAACGAGGAAUGCCUUGUAAACGCGAGUCAUCAGCUCGCAUUGAAUACGUCCCUGCCCUUUGUACACACCGCCCGUCGCUCCUACCGAUGAAUGUUCCGAUGAAAUUUUCGGAGAGCGCCAGAGAACGGGGCUCCGCCUUGUAGAUCUGGAGGCUCAAAGUCACUUAAAUCUGAACAUUUCGAGGAAGGAGAAGUCGUAACAAGGUAACC
rnacentral:rRNA from 1 species